rnacentral:rRNA from 1 species
GCUCCAGACUCCUACGGGAGGCAGCAGUGGGGGAUAUUGCACAAUGGGGGAAACCCUGAUGCAGCGACGCCGCGUGGGUGAAGAAGCGCCUCGGCGCGUAAAGCCCUGUCAGCAGGGAAGAAAAUGACGGUACCUGAAGAAGAAGCCCCGACUAACUACGUGCCAGCAGCCGCGGUAAUACGUAGGGGGCAAGCGUUAUCCGGAUUUACUGGGUGUAAAGGGAGCGUAGACGGCAAUACAAGUCGGAAGUGAAAUACCCGGGCUCAACCUGGGAACUGCUUUGGAAACUGUAUGGCUGGAGUGCUGGAGAGGUAAGCGGAAUUCCUAGUGUAGCGGUGAAAUGCGUAGAUAUUAGGAGGAACACCGGUGGCGAAGGCGGCCUGCUGGACUGCGACUGACGUUGAGGCCCGAAAGCGUGGGGAGCAAACAGGAUUAGAUACCCCCGUA